AGCAGCCGCGGUAAUUCCAGCUCCAAUAGCGUAUAUUAAAGUUGCUGCAGUUAAAAAGCUCGUAGUUGAAUUUCGGGACCAUCAUGUCGGUCGUGCCUCGGUACGUACUGGCAUUGUUGGUUUCUACCUUCUGACGAACCAUGAUGUCAUUUAUUUGGUGUCGUGGGAAAUCAGGACUGUUACUUUGAAAAAAUUAGAGUGUUUAAAGCAGGCUCACGCUUGAAUACAUUAGCAUGGAAUAAUGAAAUAGGACGUUUGAUUCUAUUUUGUUGGUUUCUAGGAUCGACGUAAUGAUUAAUAGGGAUAGUUGGGGGCAUUAGUAUUCAAUUGUCAGAGGUGAAAUUCUUGGAUUUAUUGAAGACUAACUACUGCGAAAGCAUUUGCCAAGGAUGUUUUCAUUAAUCAAGAACGAAAGUUAGGGGAUCGAAGAUGAUCAGAUACCGUCGUAGUCUUAACCAUAAACUAUGCCGACUAGGGAUCGGAUGAUGUUAAUUUUUUAAUGACUCAUUCGGCGCCUUACG
rnacentral:rRNA from 1 species